AGCGAACGCUGGCGGCGGGCUUAACACAUGCAAGUCGAGCGGGCGUAGCAAUACGUCAGCGGCAGACGGGUGAGUAACGCGUGGGAACGUACCUUUUGGUUCGGAACAACACAGGGAAACUUGUGCUAAUACCGGAUAAGCCCUUACCGGGAAAGAUUUAUCGCCGAAAGAUCGGCCCGCGUCUGAUUAGCUUGUUGGUGAGGUAACGGCUCACGAAGGCGACGAUCAGUAGCUGGUCUGAGAGGAUGAGCAGACACAUUGGGACUGAGACACGGCCCAAACUCCUACGGGAGGCAGCAGUGGGGAAUAUUGGACAAUGGGCGCAAGCCUGAUCCAGCCAUGCCGCGUGAGUGAUGAAGGCCCUAGGGUUGUAAAGCUCUUUUAACGGGGAAGAUAAUGACGGUACCCGUAGAAUAAGCCCCGGCUAACUUCGUGCCAGCCGCCGCUGUAA
rnacentral:rRNA from 1 species